GAUGAACGCUGGCGGCGUGCCUAAUACAUGCAAGUCGAGCGAAUGGAUUAAGAGCUUGCUCUUAUGAAGUUAGCGGCGGACGGGUGAGUAACACGUGGGUAACCUGCCCAUAAGACUGGGAUAACUCCGGGAAACCGGGGCUAAUACCGGAUAACAUUUUGAACCGCAUGGUUCGAAAUUGAAAGGCGGCUUCGGCUGUCACUUAUGGAUGGACCCGCGUCGCAUUAGCUAGUUGGUGAGGUAACGGCUCACCAAGGCAACGAUGCGUAGCCGACCUGUGAGGGUGAUCGGCCACACUGGGACUGGAAUACGGCCCAGACUCCUACGGGAGGCGGCAGUAGGGAAUCUUCCGCAAUGGACGAAAGUCUGACGGAGCAACGCCGCGUGAGUGAUGAAGGCUUUCGGGUCGUAAAACUCUGUUGUUAGGGAAGAACAAGUGCUAGUUGAAUAAGCUGGCACCUUGACGGUACCUAACCAGAAAGCCACGGCUAACUACGUGCCAGCAGCCGCCGUAA
rnacentral:rRNA from 1 species